ACGAACGCUGGCGGCGUGGUUUAGGCAUGCAAGUCGAACGAGAAACAGGGGGCAACUCCUGGAGUACAGUGGCGAAAGGGUGAGUAACACCUAGACAAUCUACCCUCAAGUCCGGGACAACAGCUGGAAACGGCUGCUAAUACCGGGUGGUAAGCGAGUGGCUCUGGCUGCACGCUUUAUAGACGGGGACCCUUCGGGGCCUGUCGCUCGAGGCGGAGUUUAGGCACCAUCAGCUAGUUGGUAGGGUAACGGCCUACCAAGGCUACGACGGUUAGCCGGCCUGAGAGGGUGUCCGGCCACACUGGGACUGAGACACUGCCCAGACUCCUACGGGAGGCUGCAGUCGUGAAUCUUCGGCAAUGGGCGAAAGCCUGACCGAGCGACGCCGCGUGGAGGAUGAAGGCCUUCGGGUUGUAAACGUCCUUUUACCUGG
rnacentral:rRNA from 1 species